GAGGAAGCGGCGGGGCGGAGGCGGCGGCGGCCGGGAAGAACUAGAGGUAUUCCCCGGGCGGCUGGAGGACUGAGUCGAGCCGGGACCCGAGUCCUCCGGUAUCCCAGCAGCCACCGGAGGCAGUGAGAUAAUGGAGGAAGAAUGUAGGGAGACCUCCAGUGGACCGCACUCCUUCUAGCGAGCCGCGGAAACCAUAGAGAUCAGGGCUCAGCCGGAGGGCCGGCCCACUGCUGUCACGUGGCCUCCAUCCGUGCGCUUUAUUGGCUGGUGCUGGCUUUACGGGGUUGAAUUUUGGACGCUGCCUGCCAUUCGUGGGACCGAGUUUCAGGCAGCUGGAAUAAAGAGAGACAUCGGGGGAAAGCCGCGAGAAGGCCAGCGUCCCUGGCUGGGAGCAGAGCUAGCCGAGUAGGGCGCCCGGCUGUCAAACUGGCCGGCGCAGUGCACGCUGGGCCGCCCCGGAGCGGUCGCAGAGCCCGUCGGGAGUCGUAGUCCGGGACGGGCCCGCGGCAUUGUCCGCGACGCAGCUCGGGAUCCGGGUCGGGGUGUCGGCCGGGUUGCUGCCGGGCACCGUCGAGCGUUAGCCACCCAGCAUUGAGCUGCCAGCGGCUGUUCUCCCUAAGCACCCUCGCUCACGUCGCCUCGCCUCGCCUCGCCUGACCGGCCGCAGCCUUGGAUACCAGCCUUAAAUCGAGCCGACUACGGCCCAGCCCCGCCCGCGGCGAGGUGCGCGGGGUUCGGUGCCAGCCGCUCGCCCCUGGCGGGGCCAGCCUCUUGAUGCACCGGGGACGGGCGCCCCCAUCCGACUCUUCGAGGGGCGGCAGGGCCCCAUCUGUGUCUUUCGCUCUCGAGCCCCCAGCUAGAGUUGGCUUCAGCGGAAUACCUACUGUGCGGGAUUAUUCAACAAGCCGAUUGAUCACAUUCUUCAGCUCUAGCAGUGCAAAGGCUUCACUGAAAAAGAACAUUACAAAUUUUUUUUGAAAGAAAUUUGGGGGAAUCCACUGAAGACCUACAUUUCCCGGAAGGUUAACAGCCCCCUUCUCAGUUUUCCUGAUAUAAAUUUAAUUCACAGUUGGGCAGGGCAUGGUGCCUCACACCUAUAAUCCGAGCACUUUGGGAGCCCGAGGCACGCGGAUCACCUGAGGUUAGGAGUUCAAGACCAGCCUGGGCAACAUGGUGAAACCCCGUCUCUACUAAAAAUACAAAAAUUACUACUCGGGAGGCUGAGGUAGGAGAGUCGCUUGAACCCGGGAGACAGAGGUUUCAGUGAGCCCAGAUCGCGCCACCAUACUCCAGCCUGGGCAACAGAGCGAUGCUCCAUCUUAAAAAAAAAAAAAAUCAAAAUAAAAUACAAUAAAAAAUAAAAAUAAAAUUUAAUUCACAGUUGUAACCAGCCUAAAUUAAAAAUAUUUCUUAAGAAAAAGAUUGAGACUUUAUGUUUUAGAUAGUUGUGUUUUUAUGACAGAAUACCUACACACACACACACACACACACACACACACACACACACACAGACAAACUAAAGAACUUUUUCUGUUAUAUAUCAAAUCAUACUUUUGUUAGUGUGUUUAAUUUUAUUUUAUCUUUCUGUGUGUUUCUCUCAUCAAUUUAUCUAUUAUCUGUCUCUUAAUCAAUCCAUCCAUUCAUCCUUCCAUUCAAUCUUCUAUUACUUUUAAUAUUUUUAAAUAAACUGCCUUGUUGCUGUGAUUUGUAUUAAUGUAGACUGGCAGAGCCUGAAAUGACAGAAAGACUUUUAUUUGCAUGGAAUCUCCUGGAAUCAGCUAAUAAUUCACUAUGGACUCUAUUUACUCAGAUUAAUAACUGUGCAGAAAUGUCAUUACCUGAAGAGCACAAAUCUGGGGACAGACAGAAUUUUAAUCAUGGGCUCUGUCAUGACUGAUUGGUGAUUUUGGUUGCUUAAAUAAUCCAGACUCUAGUCUCCUCAAUUAUAAAACAGGGAAUAAUAAUGGACUUUAUUAUAUGUUAAGCAACAUAAAUUGCUUUGGGUAUUCAAAGAAGAUAAUUAAUUGCCGUGGAUUAGGAAUCUGAAAUAGAAGCUUGAAUUCCCAGGAGUGAAACAAAUUUAGCAAUAUUUGCAUGACUAUUGGAGAACCAGGCCACUUAACAGGUAUACGUAUGCCCCUCUGACUACCUCCUAGAUAUUUUCUGCCACGUCAGCAGUAGGCAGAGGACCAGUUGGCUUAGUGUCUAUAUUGUUUACAUGUGGCAGCUCAAACAAUGUGAUAUGAAUAUGAACUAAGGAGGGAGACACUUCACACUUAACAUCUGUUCUUCAGUUUCCCCAACAGGAUGCCUCCAAAUGUGAAAGGAAACUCAUCAAUAACAAGCUGAGAAAUGAGUCUAAACA
rnacentral:lncRNA from 1 species